GAUGAACGCUAGCGGGAGGCCUAACACAUGCAAGCCGAGCGGUAUUGUUUCUUCGGAAAUGAGAGAGCGGCGUACGGGCGCGGAACACGUGUGCAACCUGCCUUUAUCUGGGGGAUAGCCUUUCGAAAGGAAGAUUAAUACUCCAUAACAUAUUGAACGGCGUCGUUUAAUAUUGAAAGCUCCGGCGGAUAGAGAUGGGCACGCGCAAGAUUAGCUAGUUGGUGAGGUAACGGCUCACCAAGGCGAUGAUCUUUAGGGGGCCUGAGAGGGUGAUCCCCCACACUGGGACUGAGACACGGACCAGACUCCUACGGGAGGCAGCAGUGAGGAAUAUUGGUCAAUGGGUGCAAGCCUGAACCGGCCAUCCCGCGUGAAGGACGACUGCCCUAUGGGUUGUAAACUUCUUUUGUAUAGGGAUAAACCUACCCUCGUGAGGGUAGCUGAAGGUACUAUACGAAUAAGCACCGGCUAACUCCGUGCCAGCCGCCGCAGUAAGAC
rnacentral:rRNA from 1 species